AUCAAUUUAAAGCUUAAUAGGAAAACAUUCAAUUUCAAAGCGGUAAUUAAUCUACAAUAAGACAUUUUUAUCAAUGCACAAAACAUUUACAUUCCUGGUUUAUGAACAAACAAUGAACAUGGUGUGUCUAGCUAAAGCGAAAGUGACAGUCUUUGAACACUGAGCCAGCUUUGAACCCCAAAUCACGACUUAUUUGAAGACUCUGGUUAACUGUUGUGGUGUAGACAAUGAAGUAGAACCUAUCAGAGGCCUAGCAUGAUGGCAAUGAUGUGACAGAUGUUGCACUAGUACUUAUUUAAACCAAAAGAGGUGUGCAUCUCCAUAAUACUUGUCAGAACUUUACGAUGAUGUUGCUGAUUAUGCUGAUUGCAUCGUUCAGUUUAUAUGGAUUUGCGAAAGAAUCACCCGGUUCUUCUCGAGGAAUAAGCUUUUCUGUCAACGUAAAGUCAACCCAACUUACACUCGGGGCUGUACAAACAGUAAAAUAUGACGAAGUGCUGACAAAUGACGGGGACGGAUAUGACGACAGAACGGGAAUCUUCACUUGUCCUGUGGCGGGAACCUACAUGUUUGUUGUCGAUUUUUUAUCUCGGCCUGGAAUUUGGUUAGAUCUGAAAGUCAACAAAAUUACAGUGGGUAGGCUUCACGUGUCCCCUGCAUAUACUCCAGUGAAGGGAGAAAACCCAUUAAACCAAAUAAGCAGGACAGUCAUAGUAAAGCUGAAGCCUGGGGACCAUGUCAAAGUUGUAAACACUCUAAAAGGCGGUGUGGUCUACUUCCACAAGUAUUCAGGAUUUACAGGGGUCCUCUUGUAUUGAUAUGAUAUAUCUUGACCUUUUUGCUUGGUUAAGGAUUUUUUCAAGCAAAAUAAAAG